UCGGAUGUGGUGUAUGGUGCACAACCGCUCGUAUUAACGAUUUUUGGGUGAUUGAUUUGUGCGGGAGACCCGGGUUCGACUCCCGGCGUCCGAA